UACGAAGGGGGCUAGCGUUGCUCGGAAUUACUGGGCGUAAAGCGCACGCAGGCGGAUGCGCGCGUGGGGUGUGAAAUCUGGCCGCUUAACGGCCAGGCGCCAUCCCAUACGGCGCGUCUGGAGUGAUGCAGAGGUCGAUGGAGUUGCCGGUGUAGUGGUGAAAUGCGUAGAGAUCGGCAGGAACACCCAGGGGGAAACCAGUCGACUGGGCAUCUACUGACGCUGAGGUGCGAGAGCGUGGGGAGCGAACCGG
rnacentral:rRNA from 1 species